AACAGGAUUAGAUACCCUGGUAGUCCACGCCGUAAACGAUGUCGACUUGGAGGUUGUGCCCUUGAGGCGUGGCUUCCGGAGCUAACGCGUUAAGUCGACCGCCUGGGGAGUACGGCCGCAAGGUUAAAACUCAAAUGAAUUGACGGGGGCCCGCACAAGCGGUGGAGCAUGUGGUUUAAUUCGAUGCAACGCGAAGAACCUUACCUGGUCUUGACAUCCACGGAAGUUUUCAGAGAUGAGAAUAUGCCUUCGGGAACCGUGAGACAGGUGCUGCAUGGCUGUCGUCAGCUCGUGUUGUGAAAUGUUGGGUUAAGUCCCGCAACGAGCGCAACCCUUAUCCUUUGUUGCCAGCGGUCCGGCCGGGAACUCAAAGGAGACUGCCAGUGAUAAACUGGAGGAAGGUGGGGAUGACGUCAAGUCAUCAUGGCCCUUACGACCAGGGCUACACACGUGCUACAAUGGCGCAUACAAAGAGAAGCGACCUCGCGAGAGCAAGCGGACCUCAUAAAGUGCGUCGUAGUCCGGAUUGGAGUCUGCAACUCGACUCCAUGAAGUCGGAAUCGCUAGUAAUCGUGGAUCAGAAUGCCACGGCGAAUACGUUCCCGGGCCUUGUACACACCGCCCGUCACACCAUGGGAGUGGGUUGCAAAAGAAGUAGGUAGCUUAACCUUCGGGAGGGCGCUUACCACUUUGUGAUUCAUGACUAGGGUGAAGUCGUAACAAGGUAACC
rnacentral:rRNA from 1 species